AAAGUUCGUUCGGGGUUUUC
rnacentral:miRNA from 1 species